rnacentral:ncRNA from 2 species
CUACGUCUUCGGGGCGGGGUGAAAUUCCCCACCGGCGGUAUGGCCAUCACGAUGGCCGAGCCCGCGAGCGCCUGCGGUUGCAGGGUCAGCAGACCUGGUGAGAGGCCAGGGCCGACGGUAUAGUCCGGAUGAAAGAAGAUGUGC